rnacentral:rRNA from 1 species
GGAUAACUUACCCUUAGGACUGGGAUAACUCUGGGAAACUGGGGAUAAUACUGGAUAUUAGGCUAUGCCUGGAAUGGUUUGCCUUUGAAAUGUUUUUUUUCGCCUAAGGAUGGGUCUGCGGCUGAUUAGGUCGUUGGUGGGGUAAUGGCCCACCAAGCCGAUGAUCGGUACGGGUUGUGAGAGCAAGGGCCCGGAGAUGGAACCUGAGACAAGGUCCCAGACCCUACGGGGUGCAGCAGGCGCGAAACCUCCGCAAUGUACGAAAGUGCGACGGGGGGAUCCCAAGUGUUAUGCUUUUUUGUAUGACUUUUCAUUAGUGUAAAAAGCUUUUAGAAUAAGAGCUGGGCAAGACCGGUGCCAGCCGCCGCGGUAACACCGGCAGCUCGAGUGGUAGCUGUUUUUAUUGGGCCUAAAGCGUUCGUAGCCGGUUUGAUAAGUCUUUGGUGAAAGCUUGUAGCUUAACUAUAAGAAUUGCUGGAGAUACUAUUAGACUUGAAGUCGGGAGAGGUUAGAGGUACUACCGGGGUAGGGGUGAAAUCCUAUAAUCCUGGGAGGACCACCUGUGGCGAAGGCGUCUAACUGGAACGAUCUUGACGGUGAGUAACGGAAGCCAGGGGCGCGAACCGGAUUAGAUACCCGGGUAGUCCUGGCCGUAAACGAUGUGGACUUGGUGUUGGAAUGGCUUUGAGUCGUUCCGGUGCCGAAGGGAAGCUGUUAAGUCCACCGCCUGGGAAGUACGGUCGCAAGACUGAAACUUAA